UGGUGGAUUGAUUUGUCUGGUUAAUUCCGAUAACGAACGAGACCUUAACCUGCUAACUAGUGACCAGGACCUCUUGGCCGGUCUCGUUUCUUCGACCGCGGCCGCGACUUCGGUCGUGUGUUCGUGGUCGGCGGACCGGUCGUCCUGGGCGUACUUCUUAGAGGGACACUCGGCGUUGCAGCCGACGGAGGUUUGAGGCAAUAACA
rnacentral:rRNA from 1 species